rnacentral:rRNA from 1 species
UAGUCCACGCCGUAAACGAUGAGUACUAGAUUUUGGGGGCUUUGACCCUUUCAGAGUCGUAGCUAACGCAUUAAGUACUCCGCCUGGGAAGUACGGUCGCAAGACUAAAACUCAAAGGAAUUGACGGGGGCCCGCACAAGCGGUGGAGUAUGUGGUUUAAUUCGAAGCAACGCGCAGAACCUUACCUACCCUUAACAUCCCGGGACAGCCUCAGAGAUGAGGUGUUCUCUUCGGAGACUCGGUGAUAGGUGCUGCAUGGCUGUCGUCAGCUCGUGUCGUAAGAUGCCUGGUUAAGUCCAAUAACGAGCGCAACCCUUAUCCUUAGUUACCAUCAUUAAGUUGGGGACUCUGAGGAGACUGCCGGUGUUAAACCGGAGGAAGGCGGGGAUGACGUCAAGUCCUCAUGGCCCUUACGGGGUAGGGGCUACACACGUACUACAAUGGCAGAAACAAACAGUUGCGAAGUCGCGAGGUCGAGCUAAUCUAGUAAAAC